UAAUAUCUAAUUUGAGGCAGCUAACUCAGUUGGUUGGGGGCCAAAGUUGCCAGUUAGAUCCCGGACCAGGUGGGUUAACUUUGCUGUCAGGACCCCAGCCAGUACCCCUAAUCCUGGACAGGCUCGUCAGAGAUACGUAGAACACCACAACUCAGUGAGAUUCUAUUGAUGUCUCAGUGAAACUCCUUUUCCUUUUUGAAGAGCUGUUAACAGUACCCUUUAAAAAAAUAAAUAUUUUCUUUCUCUUUGUAAAAAUACAUUCUCAUUAUGGGAAACUUGGCAAGCAUGCUACAAUAUAGAUGAGAAUAAAAAAUGUCAGAAUACAGAGUAAACUUGUUGACUUUUUCAUAAUUUUCCCCCUUCUGUGAGUACUUGUGGUGGUUUAAAACAGGUCCACAAAUUCUUUGACAAUUCUUCCAUCAAGAGGUGGAGUCCAUGCCUCUCCCCUAGAACCUGGGCAGGCCACUGUGUCUGCCUCGAUGAAUAUAAUGCUAAAUAAGAAGUGACAGGCUAGGUUAGAAAAGACCAUGCCACUUUUGCUAGUUUCUCUUGGAACACUUUGCUCUGGGAGCCUUCAGCUUCUAUGUAAGAACCCCAGCUACCCUAAGGCCACCAUGUAGACAGACCAUGUGGAAAGAUCCAGUGAAAGACGGAGAUGCCUCCAAAGCCUGUUCCAGUGCUCAGGUGUUUGGGUCUUUCCAGUCCACAGGCAGACACAUGAGUGAAAAAGCUUUUGAGAUGAACCUUUUGACUGCUGUCACGAAAAAGACCC